GCGGCCUAUCAGCUUGUUGGUGGGGUGAUGGCCUACCAAGGCUUCGACGGGUAGCCGGCCUGAGAGGGCGUCCGGCCACACUGGGACUGAGACACGGCCCAGACUCCUACGGGAGGCAGCAGUGGGGAAUAUUGCGCAAUGGGCGGAAGCCUGACGCAGCGACGCCGCGUGGGGGAUGACGGCCUUCGGGUUGUAAACCUCUUUCGACUUCGACGAAGCCUUUCGGGGUGACGGUAGGGGUGGAAGAAGCACCGGCCAACUACGUGCCAGCAGCCGCGGUAAUACGUAGGGUGCGAGCGUUGUCCGGAAUUAUUGGGCGUAAAGAGCUCGUAGGCGGUGUGUCGCGUCGGCCGUGAAAACCUGCAGCUUAACUGUGGGCGUGCGGUCGAUACGGGCAUCACUGGAGUUCGGCAGGGGAGACUGGAAUUCCUGGUGUAGCGGUGAAAUGCGCAGAUAUCAGGAGGAACACCGGUGGCGAAGGCGGGUCUCUGGGCCGAUACUGACGCUGAGGAGCGAAAGCGUGGGGAGCGAACAGGAUUAGAUACCCUGGUAGUCCACGCCGUAAACGGUGGGCACUAGGUGUGGGGGCCAUUCCACGGUCUCUGUGCCGCAGCUAACGCAUUAAGUGCCCCGCCUGGGGAGUACGG
rnacentral:rRNA from 1 species